UCCGCCCAGCGCCGCAGGGGGAGGAACUCCGGGGGAAAACAUGAGGACAAAGGCGGAGGAUGAAACCAGAGACCGCGGCUACAGCACCAGCCAAACCCGCUUAGAUGCUGAACCUGCGGGAGACUGAGGACUGGGGGCCGGGGACCCGACGGCCAGGCGCCGACAGAGAUGGGGAAGGUGAGCGGCUGCCCGGCUGCUCCAGGCCCAGAGAGGAAGAACCAAAGUGUGCAGAAAGAGAUCAGGUCUGCCGGCUGCUCAGACCUCCUCCCCGGCCUGUCGCGGUGCGGCGGCUCGGCAUCCUGCAGGACGGCAGCCCGCAUCCACAUGGCACCCUGCCCGCUGAGGACACGCCGUCUCCCGGGUCUGAUCUCCCGACCACCGGUCCCCUCUCACAGAGACCCGCUCACUGUUCACUGUUCAAUACAAUGUUGGAUACACCUGGUCUCCUCCGGGGCCCCUGCACAGGUGUGUGUGUGUGCGGGGGGGGAGGGGGGGUGUACCUGUUAAAUAAAGAGCAGUUUUAUAAAUAAAAUAAUAUUUCUGCAGAACUACA